rnacentral:rRNA from 1 species
CCUACGGGAGGCAGCAGUAGGGAAUCUUCCACAAUGGGCGAAAGCCUGAUGGAGCAACGCCGCGUGGGUGAAGAAGGUCUUCGGAUCGUAAAACCCUGUUGUUAGAGAAGAAAGUGCGUGAGAGUAACUGUUCCCGGUUCGACGGUAUCUAACCAGACAGCCACGGCUAACUACGGGCCAGCAGCCGCGGUAAUACGUAGGUGGCAAGCGUUAUCCGGAUUGAUUGGGCGUAAAGGGAACGCAGGCGGUCUUUUAAGUCUGAUGUGACAGCCUUCGGCUUAACCGGAGUAGUGCAUUGGAAACUGGGAGACUUGAGUGCAGAAGAGGAGAGUGGAACUCCAUGUGUAGCGGUGAAAUGCGUAGAUAUAUGGAAGAACACCAGUGGCGAAAGCGGCUCUCUGGUCUGUAACUGACGCUGCGGUUCGAAAGCGUGGGUAGCAAACAGGAUUAGAUACCCGGGUAGUC